rnacentral:lncRNA from 1 species
UUUUUCCUUUCUUUUUUGCUUUUUAGGGCCGCACUCGUGGAACAUGGAAGUUCCCAGGCUAGGGGGUGAAUCGGAGCUACAGCUGCCGGCCUACACCACAGCAACACAGGAUCCAAGCCGCAUCUGUGACCUAUACCACAGCUCACAGAAACACCAGAUCCCCGACCCACUGAGUGAGGCCAGGGAUUGAACCCGCAUCCUCAUGGAUACUAGUCAGAUUCAUUUCCACUGCACCACAACAGCAACUCCUAAUUUGCAUUUCUAAGGUCAUAAAAUUAGAAAAUAUAAGAUAUCAUUAAACUCAGGAUUUAUAUGUCAAUGUCGUGCUAAACACCCACUAACUAGAAUUUAAAAUAACACACUUGAGACCUACAGUUUCGCAUCUUCUCUGUAAUCAUCCAGGCCCUCGUCAUAUGAUUUUGAUCGUUCUGUCUUUGAGCUGGGCUGGGCAUCCAGGCUGGGAGGUCCAACAGAUUCUGCAAUUAAAACCCAACAUUUAGACACGGGCAAGUGGUUUCCAGACUCUUUGGACAGCAAGAAGAUCACAGUGUCAUAGUGUUCUAAAUGGAAAGCUGACAAUGUGAGACAGUUCACAUAACCACUCAUUGAAACGUACCCUGGUCAUGGGAGAGCUGACGUCGAAUUAAAGGAGCUGAAGUUGUGAGGCUGGGAGGGACCGUUGCUAUGGAGGGUACCUGGGAGGUAGAGGCGGAGAUGACGGCAGAAGCAGGGAUGUGUGAAAUAUCGUGAUCAAUGCUGGGGCUAGUUGGCUCAUCUACAAGAUAAAAUGAAAAUAAACACUGGAUGUGCAAUAGCCUAAUUAUUAUUCAUGAUAAUAAUGACAAAAUAAUCAGUAUUCAUCAUUAAAAGGACCAGGUAAAGUUUUGAACACGACCACCAAAAUAACAGUAAUUGACACGGUUGGUCUAUUAAAAAUCUACUUACGCAGUUAUUACUCUAGUAAUUCCAAAUAAUUUCAAGGAUAUGGUCUAAGAAAUUAAAUGAGUUGCUGCUUCUCCUCAACAAUUAAUACCUUCACUGAACUGAUAGUCAGAUAACAAAGUUAAUAAGUGUUCAGAACCUAAACCUAGUAAAGCAGAAUAAUCAGACACCACCCUAAGAGAAUUUGCUCUCCAAAUUUUAAGUGUAUUCCACAUUCUUGUAUCAGGAAGCCCAGCAAGAUGAUUUGGCUGAGGCUUAACUUUCAAGGUGACAAGUCCUAAAACCUACAUCCUCCACUGCCCACCAGACAGACAAACAAGUGUAUCUUCAAUUUUUAUCCAAGCAGCUACAGAUUCUUUCAGAAGAAGUUACUCACUAUCGAGGCCACUGCUAUGGAUGGAAUAUCUGUGUCCUCCCAAGAUUUCUAUGUGGAAACAUAAUCCCCACUGUGAUGGUGUUAGAAGGUGGGGCCCUUGGGAGGUGAGUAGGUCAUGAGGGUGGAGCCCUCCUGAAAGGGAUUAGUGCCCUUACAGAAGAAGGCAGCCCUUUCCACCAUAUGAAGACAUACUGUCUAUGAACCAUGAGGUUGAGAAUAAUCUUCCACGACCCUGUGAAAUUAUCAGAAUUUUGGGCAUAGACUGUGGCAGUACAAUUUUGCUUUUUAUUUCACUCUUGCUAAGGAAGAAGUAAUCCCACUCUCUCCCCAAAUGAUGGCAUAAGAAUUUAAGGCAUGUUAAUGCUAUAAUAUUCAAUGAUGAAGUAAAUCAUAUAUGACAAGGGGAGCAGUAAAUUUGUAUGAAUUAGAGGAAAUGGUGACUAAUAUAAAAGCUUAUAUAAAAAUAUGUAUCAUUCCCCAAAAUAAGUCUUUUACUAGAAAUAUGGAAAUUAAAUACACUGUCUGUUCCUAGGAGAAGGGGCAUUCACUGCAAAUGACCUAAAAACCCAAUCUACACCUCAAGUGAAAUACAGUCUAUAAUAGAAGAAUAAAAACUGUUAACGGAUUCUUUGUCUUAAGAAGAAAUUCAAGUGGGAUAAACAUCAUUUCUUCUCUUUUCAUUUCUUUUUUGGUCAGGCCUGCAGCACAAAGAAGUUCCCAGGCCAGGGAUCAAACCCAUACCACAACAGUGACACCAGAUCCUUGUCCUGCUGAGCUACCAGAGAAAUUCCUAAACAUCAUUUCUUUUUAUUUGCCUUCUAAGAUAUAAACAUUCAGGGGAAAUCAAAGGAGAUGAGCAGUUAUAUUAAGUUGAAAUGUAUCUUCAAUAGGGAAGCAUAAGCCCUUUAUACAUAACAAUUUAUUCAAAGGUGUUAUUUUUUAAUCUCAUUUAAACCCAAUGAAAUAAGGUCAUCUUAAAAAAAACUAAUCUCUCUAGACAAAUUGUACUUCACCCCAUUAGUACUAAUUACUGACCAUCAGGUAAAAAGUUUUGAGCUUCAUAAAAAUGGCAUCCUCAAGAAACUCCGCUUAUACUAAAAAGAUAUGGUUAGAAAGAAUGCUUAAAAAUAAGCCACUAAGGAAUUAACAUUUGCUUCUAAGCUCUGAAACUGAUCAUCAAUUGACAUAUCUCUCUAUAGGCUCAGGAACCUUUGUCACUAAUUAUAAACAGCUUUCAGAACAGAUUACCUGUUAACAACUGGGAAGGGGGUACCAUCACCUGGUUCAAUUAUCCCCGUUUUUAAUAAUAAUAACCCAACUCCUUAUGAUAAUGAACAUCUGGUUUUUAAAUUAAGACCAAGCUUCUUUAAUAGCCAGUUCAAUAAACAUGCAUUUAAAUUAACAUUCGGCUGUUUGAAAGUCAUUUUGAGAUUGGGUUAUUUCGAUAACCUCAAUUAGAUACAAUUAGGUACAAAAGGUUAUAAAGGGGGUAGAUUUUUGAAUAAAUACUUUAUUCUUUCUACCAUGACCAUAUGGCCACACGUACAGGGAGUGGGGCUGUAAAUCUAAGGGGAACUGCCCUUAGAGUGGGUAUGAGAACGGCAGAUGAUGGAUUUAGAGCAGAGGCAGGAAUGUGUGAACACAGUCAGUCCUGGGGCUGUCAGCUUGUCUACAGGGCAACAGCAAGAGCCUUACAUUUUUAAAAAGGCAAGUAAAAGUACUGCUUUCAGAUUUGCCACAGGUAGUGGGUCACAGUCACUCGGCUGAAUUUCUGCAGUCUCGGCUGAAUUUCUGCAGUCUCGUGGGUCAGACAAAUUAACUAGAGGUUGUGAGGUUUCAUGGGUUUAUGUGUGUGUCAGCAAUACGUGUGUACGGAAGAUGACCCAGCUUGCCAGCUGACAAAUGCUAGAAAUAUUAAUUUCAAGGAAUCCAACAUUUACCUUAAAGGAAUUUAGUAAAUAUUAGGCCCUGAUUUCACAAGUCCAUCUUUAGAAUGAUUAAUUUUAGCACAUACGCCUUAGUCGGCUAUUAGGGACGGGGGAGACUGAAGAGGGGAUCAAAAGACUUAGAUCCUGUCUGGUUGGAUUUUGUGAAAGCCACUGAAGUCCUCUGGAUAUUAAAUUCAUUCCCUAUAAAGAAACUGGACUAGGUUCAUGAGAAGGGUCAUUUCUAGCUUAAGAGGACUACACAUUAAAUCCACUAAAGGGGUAAAAUUAUCUGUUUAAUUUAUGUAAGGAUACAAAACACUUUGGGGUUUUCAUAAGCCAUGGAUUUUUUUAAGGGGCUUUUGAGAUUUGAAUUUAUUUUAAAGUGACUGACAGAUCUGGCUGAGAGAGGGCAGUCACCACUGCAUCUAUUUUCAACAUUGAAGGAACUAGCUGAAAAUCUAGAAAGUCUGCUUUACAGAAACAAUUCUAUCAUUUUUAUAAGUGCAAAGUGUAAAACAAUUUAUUUCCCUAAGCAAAUAAGUAUGGCAUUCUACAAGGUCGGCUACAGAUAAAUUUGAAAUAUUUUAGGAUAAAAGCUAAAGUUACUACCAAAAGGAAGAAGAGAAAUGGACAUCUAAAAUUAUUCUGUUGUGAGCAGUUCUGUUAACUUAGAACACAUACAUUUAUCUAGGAAGAAGAUGCCAAUUCAAACUUGGGAAAUCUGAGCUAAGAAGAGUGAAUAUUCAAUUCAGAAUUAUCAUGUAGUCACCCAGCCACCCAGUUUCCAUCCCUUUUAGGUAAAUUUCAUGUAGCCAAGUACCCCUGUAGAAAAACUGUUAGCCAGCUAUUUCCUACAGGCUUUAAAACUUCUAAAUUGGUGUCAAAUGCCAGUGCAACAAGGUUGCACCAAUCCAAUUCAACUUUAGUUAUGCUAAUAUUAAAACUAAGUACACACAUUUUGGCCAGCUUUGGGGUGAGAAGAACAAGUAUUAAAAAUAUAACAAAAAUGAGAGGAAAGCAAAUUCGAGAUGAAUGCAAUGUGGGUGACAGACUUCUUUAUAUUAAUGGUUAUGAGUUGUAUAAAUUAAAGAAACGCAGAAAAAGUCAGGAUUGGAGAGUACAUUUUCAUACCUGCUACUAAAGAACAAAUUACUUAUGAACUAAUUUUGUGUUUACUUGCAAAUGUUGAAAUUUAUUUUCAGGACUUUGAAGCCUCAUAAAGUGUGUGUGUGAGAGUGGGUAUAAACACAGUACUAUUAACCACUACUAUUUCUAAUUUACAAACAAAAUGGUUUAUUUUCUUCAUUUUUCUAAGUCUUUGUGACCCCAAAGGAAUAUUAGAUGUUAAUGUAUAAAAAAAAGGUUGUAAAAUUUUCUUUUUGUAAGACAUUUCAGAUGAGCUCUGUAUUACAUAGAUAGCUAAAUAAAUGAAUUGGCUCCAUUCUCCGAUACUCUGGGAAUAAAGCCAAGGCACUUACUUAUUUUUUUGCAUUGGUUAGAAUGUUUUCAAGUGUCAAAAAUAAUUAUCAAAAUCACAGACUAUAAGACUCUGGAGGGUCACAUUACAAAAGCAAGCUUUAAUUCUUUUCCUCCUUUUAAUUUAAAUGUUCCACCUUCUGUAUAGCACAGGGAACUCCACCCAAUAUUCUGUGAUAACCUAUACGGGAAAAGAAUCUGAAAAAGAACGGAUGUGUGUGUAUGCAGUAUAUGUAUAACUGAAUGACUCGUUGUGCAGCAGAAAUUAUCACAACAUUGUAAAUCAACUAUACUUCAAUAAAACUUAAAAACAAAAAACAAAAAAGUUUUCCUAGAAAAAAAAAAAAUAAGAAAAUGUUCCAUAAAAAAACACAGAGUAUGGAUCAACAUUCUCCAAAAUGUAUUUUAUAGCAUACUAAACUGUAAUACUCUAAAUAAAAGAAAGAAUUCAUGGUUAGAUAUUUUUGAGACAAAUGUACUCUAUCCUGCCUAGAAAAUUCAUAAUAUACAGGAGCAUAUUAAUGAUUCUGAGAGUUUUAUGGUGAAGACAAACUAAACCUAACUUUUUUUGGUCUUUUUAAGGCCGUACCCACAGCAUGUGGAGGUUCCCAGGCCUGAAAAGACAAAAAAUAUAUAUAUAUUAUUUUUAAAAAGAGCUAGAUUGGAAACACAAAUAUAAGAUAAGACUUUCAACAUUAAAUUCUGGAACUUAAGAACACAAACAUCCAGGAGCAGCAUUCCCAUUUGAAACACUGUCAUCAUUUCUGUGUUCACAUCUAGAUUCUUUACUCCACCCUGUUCCACUGGUGCUCUUCAAUUGAUAAACCAGAGUAAUUGUAUGCCACAUACACAUUAAGGUCCUGGGAGGCAUAAAGGAAAUAAAUGGAUUAAUAAGGACAUUUCUACGAUGGAUGACCUUUUUUUCGGCCACACCCACAGCAUACAAAAGUUCCCAGGCCAGAGAUCAAACCUGUACCACAGCAGUAACCAGAGCCUCAGUAGUGACAACGCUGGAUCCUUAACCUGCUGAGCCACCUCCUAUGCUGGGUAACUUUUAAGUCAUAAUUCACAAAAUAAAAGAUGUCAUUCACCAGCAACUAUAAAGGAGACUCGUACUUCAAAUAGAAUCUGAUCAAAACUGAUUAGUGAGUAUUUUAAUUCUUAAUAAACAAAUGUUCUACUUUAAUCAUUUUUCUAAAUAUUUAUGUACAGAGAAUUAUUUAGAUUUUUGUUUUAUAUUUUAGCCAAAGUUCUCUCUUCAAUGACAUAAUUAACCUUUUGACUUAUUCCUAUACUGAGAAGUAACUAGGAAGGAAUAUUAACAGAUAUAACUAGCAAGCUUUUUAUUACUCCAACAUAAUCUGAUUAUAUUAUUCUUAUUAAGUAGGAAGAAAAUACAAUGCCACUGUUCUGGUAAGAUCUCACAGGCCUGUGAAUUUUAGCCAUGGGUUAUAGGGCUUUUUUUAUGUUAAAAAAAAUCAUAAAACAAUCAUUUCUAUAAAAUAUCUGUAAGGUUCCAUCUACAAUGAAGUUCUCCUAUUCUCUGAGAGCCUUAAGUGUACAGAUAUAAAUAUGAGUAUAAUUUGGGUUGAGAUUCCUCACAAGGUUUACAAGUUGAAUAUGUCAUAUUUAUAAAAGCUGUAAGAUACGUGGAACUUUUUUUAAAAAGCUGAUCUGUGUCACCUGACAGUCCAAUAACUCAACAGCUUUAAAAAGUUUCUCUGGAAAAGAAAAAGUCU